ACGAAUGGCUAUGCACUGCACAACCCUAGGAGAGGGUGCCAUUCACAUAGACUAUAAUUGAAUGGCGCCACUAGGGUUGUGCAGUGCACAACCUGCAC
rnacentral:pre_miRNA from 8 species